CGUCACCAAGCCUACGGCUGCCGGGUAGUUUUAUCGCAGCUCGUUUUUCUGGCAAAACUAGAGCCCGUGAGAGAUCAUGUUCUACUGAACCCCCUCAGGAUGCAUGGGAAGAAGCCAAAUCCACAGAGGCUUCACUCUGCAACCUGCAGGAUCGAAAGGAUUUGCUUCCCAUUUUUCUGGUGCCAGAAACCACAGGGCACCAUCAGAGGUCCAUGCCCUGACAGGUCAAAGCUGUUUUGGUGGCACACACGAUACUGGGUGUGUGUGGGCCUGGAGGAGGAUGAGGGGGAGGAGGGAAGGGGUGGUUCUCUAUGCUUGUACCCUGCAGAGCCACUCUCUCCUGGGGUAAGGAUGACAGGAAGUCAGCCAGAUGGCACGGAGCAGGUCUGCAGCAUGUGACCUCCUCUCUGGAGAGGCAGGAAACGAGGAGGAGAAUAGGGCGGAGUGAAGAGGAGCUGGAGGAGGCAGCAUAAGAUUAAGGAAAGGAGCACUGGAAUGCGCUCAACUUGGAGGUGACAUCACUCCCUGCUCCGACAUCCAGCUUCUGAAAGACGGCAGACAUGUUGCAGCUGAUUGAAUCAUGCUGGAGUGAAACCAAGUCUUCUGUGAUACAAGAUCAGAGGAGUGAGCCAGGCCUUGGGCUGCCAAUGGAGGAUGUGAAGUCAAGCCAGGGAGCCAAGGCCACUGUCAGCUCUCUCAGUGGUUAGAAUAACCCAAUAAAUUCUGCAGGGAACUGGGCUGGGACUGGACCAGUGCUGGCAAAGAGUACAAGUGAGAGAUUCACAGAUUCUCAUUGGUUGUUCCAGGAGGAAUAAACGAUGUGAAGCUGGGCUCAGAGAAGGGGUCGCUGUGUUUUAUGAGCCAUUAAAGUUUUAUUCAUCCCUGCACCGAGGCAGCCUUCGGCCAUGGGGUCACCAUGCUUUAAAUAAACUCCCAUCAUUCCUCUCCCCCCACCUCCCCAAUAUCUGCCUUCCCACCCCCUGCUCCCCCAACCCUUUCACCCACAGACUUAAUGGACUGUUUAUUGUUUGAUGUUCAAGUCCGACUUCAUCAUUUUUUCCCUCUCUCGCGCUCUUUCUCUGUUUUCCGCUCUCCACUAGUGUUUAGCGGUAUGGAGGUUUGACUGAUGCGGUUUGUCCGUGUAUUUGUGUUAUAUGUGUGGUUCAUUUUGCGUGUGAGUGCGAGUCCUUGCAUGUAUGGGCUCUGCAUACAUGCAGACUGUCUAUAAAUUCCUUUGGUGUGCCAUGUUUUCCUCUUUAUAACAUCUUCCCUCCACUCGCCUGUUUCAUGAGUGGAUGCAAGAUUUUACGGCGUGUGUGAAUGUUUAGUUUUUAAAAAAGAGGAAAGGAAAGGAAAGGAAACCACACUGUUGCACUAGUGAUGUCCAAUGUCUUCAUUACUUGAUCGUGAGCAUGGCUACCAAUAACCAUUUUAAAGCAAAGGUAAAUUAAUCCAUGCUUUCCAUUUUUUAACAUAUAUAAUACUUGAAAAAAGUUUGCUAAAAGUCUGUAUACAUUCUGAAGUUGCAUCCUCAUAAAUGUGGUUGGAGCUUACAUGGAUUGGAAAGGAAGAAAGUACUGAUACAAUAUGUAGAUAUACUCAGAAGUACACAUUGUUUAAACUUGUGUUACCACUCUAUUGAUGCAUUUUGGUGUCAAAGCCCAGGUUUCCUGCGGGGGGGGGGGGGGGGAAUACAGUUGUCUGGUGAGGAAAUUAAUCUUGAGUAGCACACAUUCCUGCAAAGAUUCCUAUUUAAUGUGUGCACUGGAUUUCUGCUUACCUCACGCUCAUUUAAAAAACUGUCACUGCUAUAAUUUCCUACAGUUGUAAAAUCUGUCCUCGUGGAGUUAUAAACCAAAGUGCAGUGUUUUGGCAUCUAAUAAGCAACUUCUCUAUUAGUCGAACUGGACAUCUUGGAUCUUACCUGCAGCGAUAUACCCCACUCCUCCAGCUCCUUCCUGUUGUUUAGUCUUUAAAAAAAAGGAAAAAAUCUAAAUGCUCAUCUUUUCAUGGGCUUUCUUCACCAUAUGCUUAUCAUUUUUACUUUAAAGAUGCAGUAGUUCAUCAAACUGGAGCUUGCAAAGCACUUUUUGGCUGAGGGGGACAGAGUGAUAGAAGAGAUAUUUGUGAGGGGGGAGAUAUGAAGAGUUUGCAGAGUUCCCUUACAAGCUGUGUUACAACUGACCCUAUCCUCAACUUUGACCCAUGACCCUACCAGAGAUCUGUCAUGAGAGAGGGAGCUGCUUAACACAAAAUGGAGCCUGGUUCAAGAGUCAGAAAGAGAGAGAGAGAAACAGAGAGAGAGUGGGGAACAGAGAGAGAGAGAGAGAGAGAGGGGGUGAGAGAGCAUUAGUGCACACAGAGGACUCAUUUAUCCUCUCUCUCACUUGACUUCAGUUUUUUCUUCCUCUCCUUUGCUUUCUCUUUUGUUUUCACUCCACAGACACUGUUGCCCUUUCUCCCAAUACAUCCCGUCUUUUUUCCCUCUGUCCGCCCCCCCUCCCUUCCCUCCCAAUCUUCUCACCCUCAUCUGGUUGAUUUUGGACAACAGCAUGCCAUCAUCAGCAGCCACCACCACCACAGGUACGGAUUCAUGGCGGCAAGGACCAGCAGGAUUCUGGGAGGGAAUUUGUGAGAUGAAGCUUUAAUGAGAGCGAGGCCUCGUCAGCCAGGAAGAAAUGUAUGCUAAUGAUAUGCACACACCAAAAGGACCCUGGGUAGGCAAGGCAAGUGCUGGCCGAGCUCCCGCUGAGCUCUGAGGAAGAUGAGCAGCUCAGGUCAGAAGAAUAGCAACAAAAACGCCUCCUCCUUUUCUUCUUUCCUUUUCUUCAAUCUGCAUCCACAAGGGCACAGAAAAACUGGUUAACUUAAACCCUUAGAAAUUAGGUUGUGUUGCCACAUGAUGCUGCUGUUGAUGUCUUUUAGUUUCUGGAUUUCUCAUUUUUUCCUUUUCUUCAUCUUUGCAAGCACAUUGACAUUGUGGGUUGAAUUAGCUGGAGAUUAAACACAUCUGUGUUUUACAUCCAGACUUUCCAGAAUUUUAACUGUCAUAAAUAAUGACAGUUAAAAAUAAAAUUGUGCUCCAGAGAGAUGCAAUGUGUGUCCUCUAAUUGUGCUCAAAGUUGUCUUUAAUAAUAGAAAAAUGGAUAUUAAUUUGUUUUGACACUUCAUUUGGAAAUUUAAACUCACCACACCCCUAGUUAAUAAUGGUGUAUGUAAUUGGGCAGUAUUUAAAUGAAAUGACCUGUUUUCAUUCAGGAAUGAAGUGUAUUUGUUAUUAAUUAAGGAAAGAUGCUUGUUACUGGAAAUAAUGUUGCUAAAUGCAAUUUCUAUUUAUUUCAGUGUUAUCAAGUAUGUUUCAGUUACUGAUUCACAUAAAUGUUGUUUUUAUUAUACAUUUUAGUGCCAAACUUUUAAUUUAUCCUGAAAUUAUGCUUUAAUUAAUAAAUAAGCCAUGUAUUUUGUAGAAGCCUUUAUUAAAUAAAUUAAUAUUUUGGAAUGCAAGUAAA